GACGAACGCUGGCGGCGUGCCUAAUACAUGCAAGUCGAACGCAGUGGGGACGGGUGAGUAACACGUGGGUCACCUCCCAUCAGAGGGGAUAACACUUGGAAACAGGUGCUAAACCGAUACUGCAGGCUGGACCCGGGGUGCAUUAGCUAGUUGGUGAGGUAACGGCUCACCAAGGCUACGAUGCAUAGCCGGCCGGAUAGGGGAAUCGGCCACUCUGUGACUGAGACACGGCCCAGACUCCUACGGGAGGCAGCAGUAGGGAAUCUUCGGCAAUGGACGAAAUUCUGACCGAGCAACUCCGCGUGGGUGAAGAAGGUUGUCGGAUCGUAAAACUCUGUUGUUAGAGAAGCGGUAUCUAAACAGAAAGCCACGGCUAACUACGUGCCAGCAGCCGCGGUAAUAC
rnacentral:rRNA from 1 species